AAAAUGUUAUUUUUGACAUACAGAUUCACCUAUACUAUGACUGUUAAAGAAACAAAGCAAGAAGGCACAGCAGACUGUUCCAGUGAUAAUCAUGAGGUCUUAUGCCUUACAAAACAGCAAAGCUCAUUACCUCUUAUCAAGAUUUUGCUGCUGAAAAUAAAAAAUGCUAUCAAGAGUCACAGCUCCUAUAAGGCCAAACUAUUUCAAGAUUCGGCUUUGCUAUCACAGGGAUCUGUGCAAGUGUUACCUGGAGAAAGUGGUGAUUGAACCUGGGACCGUUUACAUCCCAAGCGUGUACUUAGCCAUCGAGUUGUAGACGUUCCGCUAAAUUUUACUAUCUGAGCUCAUAUAAUAAUAUUCACCAGAAUGAUUCCUGGUGGAUUUUCUUUUACUGCAUGGAACCUACUAAAACAGAGAGGCAUGCUUUAGGGUAUUAAGGAAUGCAUCCUUGGAAUGCCAUUGUGAAGUUGACAAAGUAGAAGAAUGCAUACGUAUCAGAAGUCUAGACAUUUUAGCAUGCCAGAAGAACAGUGGUACAGGCAGCAGGAAAUUCUACUGUUCUAUGAAGGGAAAACUGUCCUGAGAUCUUUCUAAUGUUUUAUUGGCAAGAAUAAAUCCAUCAACAACAACAUGAAGGCACAUAACAAUAAAAGGUCUGCCAUUGAUUAGAACAAGUAGGUUGUUCUAUUGGUUAUUGGAGGGGGAAGCACUACAGUGAUUUCAGACAUUCCGACUCCUGUUAAGUCCAUGACGGCAUUAAAUCAUAAUCCAUAAAUCCUCUCAGCUGCAUUAAUUACUAGCUAUCAAUUUUCUUCUGGUAUUUAUAUUUAUUUUAUAUAUUCUUUCUGGCUUGUAACACUUAAUUUUUUCUUGGUUAUUAUUAUUUUACAGUUUUUUGGGAUUUUUAUUCAAGGUCACUUCGAUGGCUCAAAAACUUCUACUGUACUGUUUUUCCUUUGUUUUGUUUGCCACAUGUAUGAAUAUAUUCCCAUUCCUGACUGUAACUUGGCCUGUAACUAAGAUUAAGCACUGCACAGAUUUCCCUCUUUGGCCCCAUCUGCACAUUUUUCUUCUUUUGUUGUUUUCCAUAUGUUGAAUAUUUUAUUUCUUGGAUUAGGGAUUUCUCCUCUCUAAAGUACCAAACACACAAAAGGAGCUAAAUAACUAAAUAACCCAAGUUAUCAUACAGAUGCUGAAUAGCAAAACUGUGUGGAAUGUCACCUGAUUCUCAGAUUUUGGCAAAUGAAUGAGGAUUUACAGUGCAGCAGAUGUUAUUAAAAUUUUAUACAUGAUGAAAUUCAGAUAAAUACACACAUUUUCCAUGAGUCUGUCAGCACUCAAGGACUUCUCAAUUUGCCUGAGAACUGAUGAAGCUUCAGUUGCACAACCCUUUUAUCAUAUAAAGUUACUUUUGCUAUGACAACUAAUAGUAAAGACUAUUUUCACAAGAUGUUUGUAGCCAAGAUUAAUAGCCAAGUUUUUUAAAUGGAUUCCUGCAAAGAAAGCUUUUCCAGUCAACUUCACACUGCUUCAUAGAAGUAAUGUGGUACUACAUAUAAGAAUCUAGAGUGCUACUGUGUCAAAAGCCAUUCUUUAUGUACUUCAUUAAUUGUGUGACCUGCUGUUUCCUACAUGUUUCCUAUCUGGUUUUCAGGACAUCCGACAGCUCCUUAUUCAUCCAGCUGCCUUUAUUUGGAAAGUGUGUUAUCUUUCCUUUAAAUCAGAAUAGCCUGCAGUUGUGUGUCUGAUAAGAAUCUCCUUCCAGAGUAACUGUUGGCUUAGAUACAUUUCUACCUUAGAUGUUUUCUUCUCUUCUGUGAAUAUCUGUGCAAAUCCCCAGAUGAAAUCUGGUGGAUUUUUACAAAUCCUCUUUUUGUAAUGAUGCUUUUAAAUCUUAACCUGGGUAAUUCUGGCUUCUUCUCUUCGGCUUUUCUCUUUUGGUCUCAUCAACAUAAAAACUUUUUAUUUCUUUUAGGUUUUUAAUGCAAAAUCCCCCCCUCCCCCCAUCACUGAGCAUUGUGGUGAUACGGUUGUUGUUGUUUAUUCGUUCAGUCGCUUCCGACUCUUUGUGACCUCAUGGGCCAGCCCACGCCAAAGCUUCCUGUCGGCCACUCCCAGCUCCUUCAAGGUCAAGCCAAUCCCUUUAAGGAUACCAUCCAUCUAUCUUGCCCUUGGUCGGCCCCUCUUCCUUUUUCCUUCCUUUCCCCCCCAGCAUUAUGAGCUUCUUCAAGCUUUCCUGUCUUCUAAUUAUGUGGCCAAAGUACUUCAUCUUUGCCUCUAAUAUCCUUCCCUCCAGUGAGCAGUCGGACAUUAUUUCCUGGAGUAUGGACUGGUUUGAUCUUCUCGUGGUCCAAGGCACUCUCAGGUUUUUCUUCCAACACCACAGUUCAAAAGCAUCUAUCUUCCUUCACUCAGCCUUCCUUAUGGUGCAGCUCUCGCAUCCAUAGGUACAGGUCAGAAAACCCCUUUACACACUUUGUAAAACUCUGGCUCACCGAGGGACCACUGUUUGACCAGUUUGUGUGAUUUAGGAAAUGGUUGGCAUUUAUCUCAUACUUUGAUUGGAUACUUUUCUUAUCAUCCUAUCUGUUUGGGAACCCUACUGUCAGCUGGUUAGCUUUUGGUGAUUGAGGCGGGAGAACAGAUGCAUUGGAUUAAACGUUGUUUGUGGGGCCAAUCUUCACCACUCCAUUACUUUGGAUAUAUUAUUUAUACGUUGGGCCUCUGAUUUACUUGCAAGGGAAAGAGCAGUGAGUGAGCAAAAGAACCAGGUUUGUCCCCUUUUGCGACUAUUACUGCUUUCUCCUAAGAGAGUAAACAGGCAUACAGGGGAACUGCAGUAGCUGCAAAUAAGAGGAGCAGUUCCGCGAUUGCUAUUUCAGCUUUAGUCAGCCAUCAGGUUUGGGCACAGGACCCAUGUGAAAGUGAAAAAUCACAAAAACAAAUUACUACUUGUUUAACAUGAGAGAACAUCUCUUUGGGAAUCUUUAGGUCCUUUGGUGCAUUUCUGUGAUCAUCUUCCACAAGAGCUUGACCAUAGAGUUGUUCUGGACAACCUAGAGAUGACCAGAGAUAACAUAUUAAUCAAAUCCACAAAU
rnacentral:lncRNA from 11 species